UUGGUUGACCGUUAUGGAAUAACCGUUUCACAAAUGAUAUCAGAUAUGUUCCUUACGUCGUAACUACAAUCCCCUUCCCUUUCAUGAAUGUGACCUACCGAAUUAGACUAUUUACCGGAUUUGAUAUCACAUAAGCAACACGACGGGUGCCACAUGUGGAGCAGGAUCUGCUUACCCUUCCGGAGCACCUGAGAUCACCCCUAGUUUUUGGUGGGG
rnacentral:lncRNA from 1 species